rnacentral:lncRNA from 1 species
UUUCUCCACUUUGCUGACGACAGUAAUAGUUUCAGAACCGUAAGCUAACAACGUCAGAUUUUGACGGUCUUUUUUUCUGAGUAAAGACCGGUUCAUACUACAGGAAAAUGUGCAAGCGAAGCAAAAUGGACACCACGAAAGAUUUGCCCCAAAACUUCGCUCGAGUUGAAAUGUGUUACACUUUUGCGAAUUCGCAGCGCGUGUAAAGGUUUGAUCUGGCCUCAUUUCUGCCUCCAACAAAUGUAAAAUCCGUUUGACCUUGACAACACUGACCAGUAUGCAUGACGCAAGUCUUAUCUCCCGGUACAUGUUGCUGAAUAUAUUAUUUAGUUUGAGACACCCACUUCUUUGAAAACUUGAAGGUUCCAUCCGAUCCUACUUACUAUAUUCAUUCUCUCAGAGGUCGAAUUAUAAUUUUCGCCCCAACUCAUGGCCUUUUAUUCAAGUUUCUCUUGUGUAUUUCAUUAGAUUUAACAAAGAAGAAAAACCAAAACACAGCCAAUUCACAUUAAACAGUAAUCAAUUACACAGCAAAGAAAAAAGACCACAUUCAGUGCUGAAUUUAGCCGAAUUUCUGUUAGAGGUAAACAUGAAUCUUUCUAAGGCAUAAUAUCUUUUUCAAUCGUAUUUAAACAAUACAGAUGAUGGUUUACCCCCCGUUCGUUUUCAUUUUAUAAAUAUGGGAGCGGCGAAGCAAAAGAAUUAAGAUGAGUACAUUCCUGGAGUUAUUUGAAAUGCGAAAAAGAUAUACAAAAUUAACGUUCAAGGUAUUUUUAAGCCAAUCGCCGAUCUGAUUCCUAAAAGAGGUGGAAAACUCACAAGUACAAAAGAGAUGCAUCAAAGUUUCACUCUCAGCUUGACAAAAAAAAAUGUCAUUAUCUCUUUUUCCUUAAAUAAAUAAGAGUUAACGGCCUAGAUUCUUUAAGUCUAUAUUGAAACCAUCGCAAUUUUAGCUAGUGUGACAUGCCUGAAAGGGCAAACUACAUAACUCCAACCAUUCAGUAAGAGGAAGAUAACAAGCCAGCUUCGUAUCUGGCCAUCUACCAAUAAAUCUAUAGCCUCGGACAACCUUCAUUGCUGAGGCACAAAUAUGAUACGGACAAGUAGAGCCCUUUUAAUCCAGCAUAAGUAACUGCAAAUUAAAAGGGGUUAGUGGAAAACAUAUAUUAGAGUUGACCCCGUUGUUCCGCGAGCCAAAUACUUACGAACUCUUUUCAAACAUGCAACCCCAUGUUACUAUGGUGGAACGUGUUACAUUGAAAACCACUUAUCAAGCCUGUAUUCAUAUUCUUUCUUCCAUCUUGGAUGUUUGAAAGUUUCAACUAACUCUUUUUUUCAGAUGUUGCAACAGCAUUGUUUUGAAUCCCUUGGGACCAGAUUAAACAGAGGCUUUUUUACAAUCGAAAUGGCUUCAUAGAAUUUUAUGACUGAAAUUCUUCAACUAUUCUUAAAUUCCCUCUAUAUCGAGGGGUAAAUUUGCUCAAAGUUGUGAUUUUAGUCGGGCGCCGCGCAGAUCACGAAAAACUCCUGUACGUACCUGAGCACGGUCCAUGUGUUUAAAUCAGCCGGCGGACAGACACACUGCAAACACGUGGGUGCGGUUAGCACACUUGCGCAUGUGUAUUCUGUAUACUGGGGUGGUUGCUUUAAUUCCUUUAUUUUCGUGACUUUGUGUACAUCAUCAAGACAACACGUAAGAAAUUACUCUCUGGGGAAUCGCUGGCACACCUACCUGCCUACGUGAUAUGGAGAGGAAGCCACUAAGAGAAGUUAACACCAGAGUCGGUGAUGACAUCAGUAGUUUAUCUCCUUUUUGUUCUUCUCAAGAAGUGGGCUCAAGAGAGACUCAAGUUCCAGUGAGGACCCAAGUGACAGCCACUGACAGUGACGAGGAGCAAGAACAGUGGAUGGAGAAAACAGCUGCUAGAAAAGCUGCCACUUGUCAGACAUAUUUACCAUCUUUGAAGAAAUCAAUUUUUACAGAUUUGGGAAGACCUCCGUCAUUGCUAGGUGAAUGCGCUGCCAUGGCUGCCUACAUGAACAUUGAGGCUGGCUAGCGUCAUGGUGCAAGUGGACUGACCGAUGAAAUUGCCAAAGUGAAGAAGCAGAUUACGUCAUAAGUAACACAGCUGUGGGUACGCCCCAGGAGAAGCAGACCAUGAUGCUGAUGACAAGAACGCCCUCGCUUCCUUCAAAGUGGAGAGAAGGAAGAUGGAGGACAAGAUUCUAUGAGACUUCACAAAGAUGAUUCAUGAGAAUGUCAAGGAGAGGAAGGUACUUGAAUAGAUGCCAGUCCUCGCCUCCAUCACUGAGGAGGAAUGGUUUCCAAGAUUGCAUGAGGGAUCCUCAUCAGAAUCUUAGGCGACGAUUCACAAAAAGGCAAGGAAAGGACAAUUAAUCUUCUCAGAGAUGCAGUUGCUUGCUUCCACCUUAGGAUGGAGCAAGUCUGUCUGCAUUUGUACACUACUCAAAGGAUCAUAUGUGGUGUUUAAUAAUUUAACCAAACGGUAUUCACAUCGCAAACAAUGAGUGUCAUUUAAUUUGGCUAUUUUAUGGCAUCAAAACAAGAAACUUUGGCCAGCUUCUUGUCCAGGUCCUUUACAGCCUUGUAAUGAUGUAUAAAAAACUGAGUUUUAACGAAGAAAUAUGAGGGCGCUGUUUAUGAGUUAGAAUGAUACCUUAGUAAUACGAGGGCGCUGUUUAUGAGUUAGAAUA